CAUGAAAUUUGGUUACCACAGGAAACCCAGAGUGGUGUGUGAUAAUUGUGGAAAGCGAGGCCAUAUGAAAAAGGAUUGUUUUGAGUUGAUUGGUUAUCCUCCUGGCUGGCAGAAGAGGCCUCCAAACCGUACCAAUAAGGAGAGUAUAUUCUCGAAGAAGCCUGAACGAGGCCAUCUUACUGCAACUAUAAGGUAAUCACCCGAUGCUGCUGCACAUGCAUUGGAAGAAUUCAAAUCAAUGGUGGCGGCUGCUAGUACAGAUGUCCCUGAAUCUGCAUCAACCUCUCAAGGAGCUGAAGUCAGGAAGAAUACUUGGGACUGGGACUGAGCGAGAUGGCUUGUACUACCUCGACAAUGGUCUGACGCCAUUGGCUCUUAGUACAAGAUGCAACCCUGCCGAAGAUGAGUUAAUUUUGCUGCAUUAUAGACUUGGACAUGUGUCCUUUCAGUCCCUAAGUCGUAUGUUCCCAUCAAAAUUUAGUCUCUCCUGUAAGAAAGGUUUUUUAUGUGAUGUGUGUGAGCUAGCAAAACACACAAGAACCAAUUAUCCUAGUAGUACUGAGAAAACUGAAAUUCCUUUUGAAGUAGUGCAUUCUGAUGUAUGGGGUCCUUCGACCGUGACUUCUCUUUUAGGAGAAAGAUGGUAUGUUACCUUUAUUGACGGUUCUAGUAGAUGUACUUGGUUGUACCUUCUAAAGCACAAAUCUGAAGUCUUAUCUGCGUUUAAAGACUUCUAUAAUAUGGUGCAAAAUCAAUAUAAUGUCAAUGUGAAAAUACUUCGGUCAGAUAAUGGGACUGAGUAUGUAAACAAA